rnacentral:rRNA from 1 species
CGCGUAGGCGGUUUCGGAAGUCAAGGGUGAAAGCCCCGAGCUCAACUCGGGAAUUGCCUUUGAAACCACGGAACUAGAGUGUUGGAGAGGAAAGCGGAAUUUCCAGUGUAGCGGUGAAAUGCGUAGAUAUUGGAAGGAACAUCUGAGGCGAAGGCGGCUUUCUGGACAGACACUGACGCUGAGGCGCGAAAGCCAGGGGAGCGAACG